GUAAGGAAUAUUGGUCAAUGGACGCAAGUCUGAACCAGCCAUGCCGCGUGCAGGAAGACGGCCCUACGGGUUGUAAACUGCUUUUGUACGGGAAAAAACCCCCGGUUUCGCACCGGGGCUGAUGGUACCGUAAGAAUAAGCAUCGGCUAACUCCGUGCCAGCAGCCGCGGUAAUACGGAGGAUGCAAGCGUUAUCCGGAUUUAUUGGGUUUAAAGGGUGCGCAGGCGGAAUGAUAAGUCAGUGGUGAAAUCCUACGGCUCAACUGUAGAACUGCCAUUGAUACUGUCGUUCUUGAGUACACUUGAAGUGGGCGGAAUGUGUCAUGUAGCGGUGAAAUGCUUAGAUAUGACACAGAACACCGAUCGCGAAGGCAGCUCACUAACGUGAAACUGACGCUCAUGCACGAAAGCGUGGGGAUCAAACAGGAUUAGAAACCCUUGUAGUCC
rnacentral:rRNA from 1 species